rnacentral:rRNA from 1 species
GUUAGGAAUAUUGGACAAUGGGCGCAAGCCUGAUCCAGCCAUGCCGCGUGAACGAUGAAGGCCUUCGGGUUGUAAAGUUCUUUAGCCGAUGAUUAUAAUGACUGUAGUCGGAAAAUAAGCCCCGGCUAACUUCGUGCCAGCAGCCGCGGUAAUACGAAGGGGGCGAGCGUUAUUCGGAAUCACUGGGCGUAAAGCAUGCGUAGGCGGUUUUGUAAGUUAGGAGUGAAAGCCCAGGGCUCAACCUUGGAAUUGCUCUUAAAACUGCAAGGCUAGAAUCUCGGAGAGGAUAGCGGAAUUUCCAGUGUAGCAGUGAAAUGCGUAGAUAUUGGAAGGAACACCAGUGGCGUAAGCGGCUAUCUGGACGAGUAUUGACGCUGAGGCACGAAAGCGUGGGGAUCAAACAGGAUUAGAAACCCUAGUAGUCC